rnacentral:rRNA from 1 species
CCUACGGGAGGCAGCAGUGAGGAAUAUUGGUCAAUGGGCUUACGCCUGAACCAGCCAAGUCGCGUGAGGGAAGACUGCCCUAUGGGUUGUAAACCUCUUUUGUCAGGGAGCAACGCCGGCUACGUGUAGCCGGACUGAGAGUACCUGAAGAAAAAGCAUCGGCUAACUCCGUGCCAGCAGCCGCGGUAAUACGGGGGAUGCGAGCGUUAUCCGGAUUGAUUGGGUUUAAAGGGUGCGUAGGCGGAAUGCCAAGUCAGCGGUAAAAUCGCGGGGCUCAACCUCGCUCCGCCGUUGAAACUGGCGUUCUUGAGUGGGCGAGAAGUAUGCGGAAUGCGUGGUGUAGCGGUGAAAUGCAUAGAUAUCACGCAGAACUCCGAUUGCGAAGGCAGCAUACCGGCGCCCAACUGACGCUGAAGCACGAAAGCGUGGGUAUCGAACAGGAUUAGAUACCCGGGUAGUC